GGCAAACUAUGGCACUAGCUAGAAAAGCAUAUGAAUGCAAUAUAAAAAUCAACUGGGAGGAAGCGGCGGUACGCAGAAAUGUAACGGAUAACAGAGAAUUGCAUAUAACAGAGGGUAUGGCUAUUUUAGAAGGCAGUAGAAAAGAAGAAAUAAUAAAUGAAAGACAGUCAGUAGAUUUGCCACAAGCAUGGAGGUAUGUAAUACGGAAUAGGAAGGAAAGGAGCAGCUAAGGUAGAAUUGUUUAAAAGAAUUAUGAAAGGUGAUAAAAAAGAACUAUUUUGGAAAUUGAACAUUGUUUUGUGUUUACAGUUGUUGUGAU
rnacentral:lncRNA from 1 species